UACAGAGGUCCCAAGCGUUGUUCGGAUUCACUGGGCGUAAAGGGUGCGUAGGUGGUGAGGUAAGUCGGAUGUGAAAGCUCGGAGCUCAACUCCGAAAUUGCAUUGGAAACUACCUUGCUCGAGGGUUGGAGGGGGGACUGGAAUACUUGGUGUAGCAGUGAAAUGCGUAGAUAUCAAGUGGAACACCAGUGGCGAAGGCGAGUCCCUGGACAACUCCUGACACUGAGGCACGAAAGCUAGGGGAGCAAACAGG
rnacentral:rRNA from 1 species